CUGCCUUGGCCACUUAAAGAGUACUGGCAUUACAGGCAUGUGCCACCCAUGCCUGACUGAAAAAUAAAUUUGUGAGCAAAGAAUAUUUAGGGACUGGGAGGUAGCUCAGUGGAAGGAUGCUUGCUUAGCAUGUGUGAAGCCAUGGGUUUGGUUCCCAGUACCUUUAAAAAAAAUAAAAGAAUAUUUAGACUGUGUCAGUUGUAUUGCCCCAAGGCUCGACAUUCUAUAGCAAAGAAUAAAUGGUUCUACUUUGGUAGGGCUCUGGGACAAGGGGAAUCCAAGACUAGUCCCUCCUUCUCUCCUACCCCAGCCCAACUUCUGCAACAUAAACAGCAAAGCUAAAAAUAGCCACCUAAUGACGUCAGAGGAACAAGGUCAUCUGAACAUUGCCACAGCCACUGGACACCUCCCUAUAGGAUCAAAUAGCAGGAGGGUACCCCAGGCUGGUGCAGCUGUUCCAAGAACAGGAAAUGUCCUAGGAGCAGACCUGGAAGCGCUGCCAUGUGAAAGCAGAGGUAGCCCGGCGGAGGAGCAGGCAAUACAGACGCACAUCCAGACUGAGCGGAGCAUAGACCCCAGAUUAAGAGUAAUUUGACUUUAUCUGCACUAGAAGUCAUUCCCAUCAUUCGAUCCCAGGAAAUGGCUCAAGAAACUGAGAAUGCGUGCUGUCCUCGUGCACAGGGGCAGCUUCUCUGCCUGCCGUUUGCUAUUUUUAAAGUCUAGGUGUGCUUGCUAAACCGGGUUACCAUAAGAACUAGGGGAUGCAUGGCAAGCUGAGGGGCUGCUAGAAGAGGACCCAGCCUGGGUGGCAGGGGGCAUGCCCAUAAAGGACGAGGAGGGGCUGGGAAUGCUCCUGGCUGCAGUCUGGAACCUUGGCCAUCACUCUGGCCUGCGGAGGCAUGUGGCUUCAUGGGCUGGCAGCUGCCGCAUCCCUGACAGGAACCUAAGCAUCUGGCCCAGUCUGAGGAGAUGCCUGCUGUGCAGAUGGCAGACACAUCACAACUCCAGUGAAGUAAGACAAAGUGCUUCCACCUUUCAAAUCUAAUCUGAAGGCUUGAAGACAACAAAUCUCCAUUAAUACUGACAUCACACCAGCCAAGGGGAGCUUUUCCAUCCUGCAAGUGCGUGUGCCACAAUAAUGUCAUGAAUUACACUUUGGGAGAGACUUCUAUUUCCUUCUGAGCUUGUAUUUCAACUACAAAGACAGACUGCAAGUCUUACGAGUCACAGUGUCAGAUUCACCCAGAAGCCAACAUUUCUCACCACCUCCACUGCAACCACCCGAGCCAACCCACCAGCAGUGCGGGCCUUCUGAUCUCACAUGCUCCUCUUCCACCCCCACCUGUCUGCACAGCAGGAGCCUUCUUCAUCUCUGCCUCAUGGUACACAGCUGCCCAAGCUCAACUCACACUGGUUCCAUUGUUUCCUUGCCACCUACCAUCCCCACGUGACAUACCACAAGAUCACUGAGGACACAAGGAAAUGGAACUUCAGUGCUGAGGGGCAUGGAAGGGAAUGACCACAGCAGGAAGACAUGCCACAUCAAACUUUAACAGGUAGGUUCUCCGGUUCUACCAUACAAGUCUAAGACCUAAUCUCAGCUCUACCACCAACUCUUAAAAAUGUUUCUAUGAGGAAGCCGAUUCCCCUUUCAAAGACUCCUUUUCUGAAAAAUGAAGGUAUAACUAGGGGCCUCCUGUAAUCACAGGUACUCAGGAGGCUAGACAGGAUUUUAAAUGCAAGGCUAGCCUGGGCAACU